UACGGAGGGUGCAAGCGUUAUCCGGAUUUACUGGGUUUAAAGGGUGCGUAGGUGGGUUUGUAAGUCAGCGGUGAAAUCUCCAGGCUUAACCUGGAAAUUGCCAUUGAUACUAUAGAUCUUGAAUUAUCUGGAGGUGAGCGGAAUAUGUCAUGUAGCGGUGAAAUGCUUAGAUAUGACAUAGAACACCGAUAGUGAAGACAGCUCACGAAGGCGAAACUGACACUGAGGCACGAAAGCGUGGGGAUCGAACAGG
rnacentral:rRNA from 1 species